GGUAGGGCUCUGUCGGUUGAGAUCCGACUGAUUUGGCUUUCAUGGCUAAAAUUGGCGGGCGUGAAAUGGACGAAAGAGCAGCCCAAAGUGGCUGGCUGGUCUGGAGGCUGGGGUCUCAAGGGUGUAUGUACGUAGAGGACAUGGGUAAUGAGGUAUUUGAAUGUAUGUAUUUAUAAGUACAAGUACUUUUACUACUAUGUUUACUACUGUGUUAAUCCCCAAAAAACACAACAAACCAAGGUUGUGUGAUUUUCAAAAAUAUAUUGCGUGACGGGCCAUCCUACGUCCUUCAUAGAACAAAUGCCAAGAUUCAUGUCUAAGACAUAACAAUUAUGAAGAACACAUGCAAGGAAAGUUUUGUAUUGACGCCUGGAAUGAACGAGAAGUCCCAAAGUCAUCUCAAAAUAGCUGAAUCAACCUCCUGUUUCCGGCACUUGAAUUCUGUUACUGACACGUUCUUGUUCUUGUUCCAGAAAUCUCCCAUCUAUUUCCCAUCAACCACCCAUCAUCGGAUUGACAUCGACCACCCGUCAUGGCUUCUAACUACUCUUAAUUCACUCAUUUUUAGGUUUUGCCUGUUCUUUGCUUAAUUUUCAGUUCAGUUUCUAUCUGCACUAGUGGCCAUGCUGAUGGAGGACCUUUUGCGUGUAGCUGCCAACCCGGAGUCUGCGAUCUUGUUCCUGAGAGAUCGCCAUUGCGUAAGGAGAGACGCACCAUCCUGCCCCUGAUGUCAACGGGUCAUGACGUUGGUGAAGUUUGGCCAAAAGCGCUCGCCCACCUUCCAGUGCCCUAGCCACAAAGGGGAGCGUGUCUCUCAACUUAAAGGGUCUUUUUUGGAAAAGACUCACAUUAGUCUCACAAAACACUUACGUUGGCUUGCCUGUGGUCUUACAAAACUUCUGUUUCAGACACAUCUUUGCAAACUGGGGUUGCCGCCAAGGCUGUAGGUCAGUGGUUUUCCUUUUACUGGGACGUUUGUUCCCUUGGCUUGAGGAAAAUCCUUACAAAAUUGAUAGUCCUGGUGUUAUCGUGGAGAUUGACGAGUCCGUGAUUGCAAAGCGGAAAUAUCAUCGUGGCCGAGUCGUCAGGCAGAGGUGGGUGUUCGGUGGAUAUAGUCCAUCUACGAGGCAAGGUUUUCCCGUCAUGGUGGAUUGCAGGGAUGCUGCCACAUUGGAGGAAGAGAUCCGUUCAAAUAUUCAACCAGGCUCCAUCAUAAUCAGUGCCAAAUAAUUGAUUCUUGCACGGGCAUUCUUUUUUUGAUGCAUCAACAUGUUAUUAUUUUUUGUUACAGGCUGGUUAUAAUGGAGUUGGGAGGAUGAAUGUGCAGCCUCCUUUUACACAUGGUACUGUGAACCACUCGCAGAACUUUGUGAAUCCAGCUAAUGGAGCUUGCGCAAACCACAUGGAGGUUUAUUGGGAAAACGUGAAACAAAAAGGGUCAAAGCCAUGAAUGAGACCUCCAGCAACGUUCUUCCAAGUCAUUUGGACGAGUUCAUGUGGCGUGAAAUACACCGAAGAUUCUCUCUUGCUCCUUGGCAAGGCUACUAUGGAAUUUUGGCCAUUCUUACCAGAAACUAACUUUGUGUCGUCAGCAUAAGAAGAGAGACUGGCAGUAAUAAUUAGCUUUUGAGGCCUUAGGGAAUGCCUGACUUGGCAUCAUGACAGAUUCAAAUAACUUGGAAGCAUGAAGCUCUUACAAAAAUUCUCGAUCUUGAGAGGGGGGUGUUCAAUGGAGUUUUCCUCAUGACUCUAGAUAUAUCUGACUAUGGCAUGGUC